UACAGAGGUGGCAAGCGUUGUUCGGAAUUACUGGGCGUAAAGGGCGCGUAGGCGGUUCGUUAAGUCCCGUGUGAAAGCCCCCGGCUCAACCGGGGAACGGCGCGGGAAACUAGCAGGCUUGAGUUCGGGAGAGGGAAGCGGAAUUCCGGGUGUAGCGGUGAAAUGCGCAGAUAUCCGGAGGAACACCGGUGGCGAAGGCGGCUUCCUGGACCGACACUGACGCUGAGGCGCGAAAGCUAGGGGAGCAAACGGG
rnacentral:rRNA from 1 species